ensembl:lncRNA
GCCACUUCAGCAAAAUUUUAACUUGCUCUAGGCCAUGGAUCACUGGAUCCCUUGAGACUUGCCAAAGUUACAAAUACUACAUUCAACAAUGUCAAGGUUCUUGGGUAAUCUGCACUGUAAUACUAAAAUUGUUAAAUCAGUCACAGAUAAAUGUUUUAAUCUGUAUAAAUGAAGGUAUAAUCAAGUCUUAGGAUUUAUGACAGAAUAAAAUGAAGAAAUUUUUUAGAGAUGCACAUAAUGAAGACAGUUUUAGGGCCUGAGAUCUUCAAAGAAGGACAGCAUGGAAAUCGAAGAACAUCUUGGGAAUGUGACUAUUUCCAAUCACACAGUCUGUCAUCCUGGACAUUCAACCAGCUCAGAACAUGUAGCCCUCUUGCAGGGCGGGAUCACUGAUGGACAAUUGGAGAGAAAGAAAAGCAGAGGUCUUGGAUUCCUGGGCUCGAAGAAUCCUCUUGUCUCAACUUUCUGAAUAGCUGGCACUACAGGUAAAUACCAACACUUCUGGCUACAAAGUAACUCUUUAUAGGACAUCAAUGGACUCAUUAAAGUUUCCUUAAAGACAUAUUAAAAAUUUUAAAACUUUAUCAGCCAGAAGCCCUUUAGCGACAAGUGACAGGAACCUAAAUCCAAAUAGCUUCAGCCAGAGAAAACAAUACCAAAAGAAAAACUGAUUCACUUCUCUAUCAAGGAAGUCUAAAGGUCAUGUUUUCAUUAGUUGAAAAUAAGAAAUAACAAUGUUUUAAGGCUAUUGUAUCAUACCAUAGUUUGGUUCUGCUUCUGAUUGUGUAGCUACCUUCAUUAUUUUAUUUGUGUGUGUGUGUGUGUGUGUGUGUGUGUGGUUACAAAGAUAUUUGUCAAAUCCUCAGAGUUACUGCUCUAUUCCUUUCUUCUCCCUCUUCUCUGCCAUGCCUCCAUGCUAUUCUGUCCUGUGUUGGAGACAUUUGGAUAUGGACUGAAAUAUCUACAAACUGUGAGCCAAAAGAAAUGUUUGGUAUUUUGAUCCAGCAAUGAGGAAAGUAAAAAAGACAUCAUCUCAUUUAGAAUGCCCCAGAGAAGACAUCAUCAGAAUGUGCAGUACGACAUGGAUAAAUAGUCUAUGGAGUCUCUUGAGCACCAAUUUAAAGAAGAUUUACCGACUUUUGUUGGCAAGAAAACUUCGAAUCUCAAGAUCAUUUGAUAUAAUUCAGUCUUGACCAUAGACUUCAGUCAACCAAAGAAUAAUUGCUAAAGCCCUCCAAAGGUAGCAGCAGAAGAAAAUAUAUUGAAUCCAGGGUCUUUGAGAAGAUAAUCCUAUUGACAAAAUCAGACAUUCAAUACACAGAAUUACUAAAGUGAGACCAAAACACUGAAUGCAGUAUUAUCCAGAGUUUACAAUACACUUGACAACUGGGUUGCUAGAACUGUGUUGCUGUCAUUGCUGCUAUUGGAACAUCUGCCUGGAUGUCUGGAGCCUACAGUCCAACUGAAGUUCUGGGAUUGCUGCUGAUGCUGCCUGACCUGCAGUCCUCUGCAACUGACCCAUCAUCUAGUAUGAUAUUAAAUCUUUCAUCCACCUUACAGACUUUCACUAUUUCUGCUCUUCACUUUCUUCUCACUGUGCCCCCCCUUUUUUUAACAUGACCAUAGAAUCCUUGGGUCUUCUUUCUUAUUUUCCCAAUAAUUUCAUUACUUAUGCUUUAAUUAGAAAAAAGGAAAAACUAUCAUGCUUUUCAUUAGAAUUACUUAUUAUUUUAUUUCAAAAUAUACAUUUAAAGAAGUUAGUCAAAAUUUACUGGAGGAAAUGGUGUCUUAAACUAAAAGUGUAAAUAAGGAUCAAAAUGUAUAAUUGAUAUUGUGAAAUAGCAAGAAAAGGUCUAAAAGGAGUAGGGG